rnacentral:tRNA from 1 species
GCCCCCUUAGCUCAGUCGGUAGAGUGACUCCAUGGUAAGGAGUAGGUCAACGGUUCGAUUCCGUUAGGGGGCU